CUGUCACUCAGUCGAGUGCAGUGGCGGGAUCUCAGCUGACUGCAAACUCUGCCGCCCAGGUUCAAGUGAUUCUCUUGCCUCCGCCUCCCGAGUACCUGGUACUAGAGGGAUUAGUCAGUGUCGGGGCUAAGACCAGUCCUGGCCAGGGCAUCAACAGGAUAGUCUCUGGAGGCCGGGAUUCACGGAGGGUCGUCCAGGAGGAAGAAACUGCAGGUGGAGGGCCGGGCAAGCAGCGCGGGAUCCCAGGUUCAGGCCUGCACGGACGGUGUGCCACUACAUUGAGGCCGGGUGCAGUGGCUCACACCUCUCAUCCCAGUUCUUUGGGAGGCUGAGGCCAGCGGAUCACGAAGUCAGGAGAUCAAGACCAUCCUGGCCAACACAGUGAAACCCUGUCUCUUCAAAUAUACAAAGAAUUAGCCAGGUAAGGCCAGGCUCUGGCUCAUGCCUGUAAUUCCACACUUUGGGAGGCUGAGGAGGGUGGAUCACCUAAGGUCAGGAG
rnacentral:lncRNA from 10 species